CGACUCUACUGGGGAUCGAACCCAGAAUCUUUGCUUUCGUAGAACAACGCCUUAGAACACUCUAUCAAAUC
rnacentral:tRNA from 1 species